UAGUAAAUGACAGUCCCGCCCUUGCGGGUGG
rnacentral:sRNA from 1 species